CUGAAUAUGGGGGGACCAUCCUCCAAGGCUAAAUACUCCUGACUGACCGAUAGUGAACCAGUACCGUGAGGGAAAGGCGAAAAGAACCCCGGCGAGGGGAGUGAAAAAGAACCUGAAACCGUGUACGUACAAGCAGUGGGAGCACAGGUUUACCUGUGUGACUGCGUACCUUUUGUAUAAUGGGUCAGCGACUUAUAUUCUGUAGCAAGGUUAACCGAAUAGGGGAGCCGGAGGGAAACCGAGUCUUAAUUGGGCGUUAAGUUGCAGGGUAUAGACCCGAAACCCGGUGAUCUAGCCAUGGGCAGGUUGAAGGUUGGGUAACACUAACUGGAGGACCGAACCGACUAAUGUUGAAAAAUUAGCGGAUGACCUGUGGCUGGGGGUGAAAGGCCAAUCAAACCGGGAGAUAGCUGGUUCUCCCCGAAAGCUAUUUAGGUAGCGCCUCGUGAAUUCAUCUCCGGGGGUAGAGCACUGUUUCGGCUAGGGGGCCAUCCCGGCUU
rnacentral:rRNA from 1 species